AUAAUGAUUCACGCUGAAUUAAUUGUAUGACUGAGGAGCCUCACCCUGACCUGUAGACCUGAACAGCAACACAGGGGAUGAUGCACAGACAAGGUGUGGGUCUCAGUGUUAGGGCUGUGUGACUUCCAACAAAUGCAUUACUUCAUUUCUGAGCCUCAGUCUUCUUAUCUUUAAAAUGGGACUGAACCCAGCAUCUACCCCACAGAAUCACUGUAAAUAGAGGGUAAGUUACUGUCAGCGAUGGCAUGAGGACAGCAGGGACAUUCCCAGCACUGGUGACCUGCAUGGGUUGAGGCUGCCUCUGUGGCUACCCUAUCCCUAGCCGAGGACAAGACUGCCCACUUGGAAGCUCCAAGUCCUUCUGAGGAGCUCCUGGUGGAUCCCCAUGGCCUGGGGGGGUUGUCCGCACAUUAAUUGCUGUUGAAAGAGUGAGUACCAGGCACUGGAUACUACACAAGAACAGGAGCAGGUGCCGGGCAGUCCCUGGGUGGAGGGAGUGGGGCUUUGUUCUCACACCUCCACUCUGCAGUGCAGAGCGGCAGACCGGGCAGAGCAUGGAGGCCCCCGAGCUGGGCCGUGUGCACUGGCAGCACUGGGCCAGCAGCUGGUUGGACCGGGCGGCCGGGGAGAAAGGAAGAGGCUGGUGAGGGGAGAAGGGGAGCCGGGGCAACCUGCAACAGCCUUUGGUCCCUGGAGCGGGAGGCAGGGGAGCGGCAGAGCCGGGCAGAGGACCAUGUCAUGCAGGGAGGGCGAGGGAGGCCGAGGGUGGACAGUGCAGGAAGCAGACCUGGCAGAGGACCUGGCAAGGUGGCAGCCACCCAAUGGGUGAGUGCCACCCUGGAGAAGGAAGCGGCCAGAGGGAAGAGAAGAAGGAAAGGCCACCCGUGCUGGCUCGGGCCCCUGCAUGGACAUGAAGACUCCCGAACACUGGCCACCAGGUCCGAGUCCACGUCACUCACCCCGUGCCUGCACUGUCCACACAGUCAGCAGGAGCCGAGUAUCGAUCGUCCCACUCUCUUUCUCUCUGCAUCUAGUCCUGAGGAAACCUCCUCUUUCCUGGCUGCACCAGAACCCAGCAGCCUGUGGUGAGCCGUACUUUGCUGGGUUUUGGCUGAGCCCAGGAUCUGAAUGCUAGCUUCUCAACUACUACCGACUGGAAAGUGGGACCACUGCCUCACACAGCCCCAGGCUUCUCGUCUCUAAAAUGGGGCUACUCAAAUCAGUUGCAAUGGUUAAUUUAUUGUCAAUGAGGCUCUCCACAAAGCCCAGACAUUUGGUGAAAUUUUGUCCCUGAUGUUUCUGUAAGAAUGCCUUGUGACGAGAAUGACAUUUAAAUGGACAGACUGGAGGCCUGGAAGAGACCCUGCUACCCAGGAGGCUAAGGUCUGAGGCUUGUCUGAGGCCAGCCUAGGCAACAUAACACUAGAUCCUGUCUCAAAAAGCAAACACAAAUAAAUAAAUAUUUUACAAUAAAGCCUGGGAAUGUAACUCUGCGCGUGGCUUCAGGAGGUGCUGCGUGUGAUGCCCAGCACUGCAAAAG
rnacentral:lncRNA from 1 species